rnacentral:rRNA from 1 species
CCUACGGGUGGCAGCAGUGGGGAAUAUUGCACAAUGGGGGAAACCCUGAUGCAGCGACGCCGCGUGCGCGAUGAAGUAUUUCGGUAUGUAAAGCUCUAUCAGCAGGGAAGAAGAUGACGGUACCUGACUAAUAAGCCCCGGCUAACUACGUGCCAGCAGCCGCGGUAAUACGUCGGGGGCAAGCGUUAUCCGGAUGUACUGGGUGUAAAGUGCGCGUAGACGGCGAUGCAAGCCAGAUGUGAAAGCCCGGGGCUCAACCCCGGGACUGCAUUGGGAACUGUGUGGCUGGAGUGUCGGAGAGGCAGGCGGAAUUCCAAGUGUAGCGGUGAAAUGCGUAGAUAUUAGGAGGAACACCAGUGGCGAAGGCGGCCUGCUGGACGAUGACUGACGUUGAGGCUCGAAAGCGUGGGGAGCAAACAGGAUUAGAUACCCGGGUAGUC